rnacentral:rRNA from 1 species
AACGAACGCUGGCGGCAUGCCUAACACAUGCCAGUCGAACGAGACCUUCGGGUCUAGUGGCGCACGGGUGCGUAACGCGUGGGAACCUGCCCUUAGGUUCGGAAUAACUCCCCGAAAGGGGUGCUAAUACCGGAUAAUGUCUUCGGACCAAAGAUUUAUCGCCUUGGGAUGGGCCCGCGUUGGAUUAGCUAGUUGGUAGGGUAAAAGCCUACCAAGGCGACGAUCCAUAGCUGGUCUGAGAGGAUGAUCAGCCACACUGGGAGUGAGACACGGCGCAGACUCCUACGGGAGGCAGCAGUGGGGAAUAUUGGACAAUGGGCGAAAGCAUGAUCCAGCAAUGCCGCGUGAGUGAUGAAGGCCUUAGGGUUGUAAAGCUCUUUUACCCGGGAUGAUAAUGACAGUACCGGGAGAAUAAGCUCCGGCUAACUCCGUG